rnacentral:rRNA from 1 species
AAUGAACGCUGGCGGCAUGCCUAACACAUGCAAGUCGAACGGGAGCACAGUAAGAGCUUGCUCUUACGGGUGGCGAGUGUCGGACGGGUGAGGAAGGCAUCGAAAUCUACUUUGUCGUGGGUGAUAACGUAGGGAAAUUUACGCUGAUACCGCAUACGACCUACGGGUGUAAGCAGGGGUUCUUCUGACCUUGCGCGAUGGUAUGAGCCGAUGUUGGAUUAGCUAGUUGGCGGGGUAAAGGCCCACCCAGGCUACGAUCCGUAGCUGGUCUGAAGGGGUGAUCAGCCACCCUGGAAGUGAGACACGUCACCCACUCCGACGGUAAGCCACAGUGGGGAAUCUUGCGCAAAGGGGCAAAGCCUGAUCCAGCAAUACCGGGUGGGUGCAGAAGGCCUUCGGGUUGUAAAGCCAUUUUGUUGGGAAAGAAAUAAAGCAGGUUAAUCCCCGGCUGUUAUGACGGUACCGAAAGAAUAAGCACCGGCUAACUUCGUG